GACAGAGGUCCCGAGCAUUAGGCGGAAUCACUGGGCUUAAAGCGUGUGUAGGCGGCGGCCUAAGUACCUUGUGAAAUCCCACGGCUCACCCGUGGAACUGCUCGGUAUACUGGGUCGCUUGAGCCACUUAGGGGCUACCGGAACAAAUGGUGGAGCGGUGAAAUGCGUAGAUAUCAUUUGGAACGCCAAUGGUGAAAACAGGUAGCUGGGAGUGUGCUGACGCUGAGACACGAAAGCCAGGGGAGCAAACGGG
rnacentral:rRNA from 1 species